rnacentral:misc_RNA from 1 species
CCGAUUCCUCUCCAGCUCCCUUCAGUGACGGACCUUCUUCUCCGGAUGAAUCCCUCUCCAGUCCCAUCGGCAGCACAUUCUCCUCCCCCGCUGGUAACACCUCUCGCCGGAACAGAUGCAGGGGUAGAUCCACUACCACUUCGGCCUUCGCCACCACCCCUCCUUCCCAAUCCCGCUUUGCCACUUCAGAAUCAACCCCGACU